UUGUGCGUGUGACAGCGGCU
rnacentral:miRNA from 1 species